rnacentral:rRNA from 1 species
UGGGGAAUAUUGGACAAUGGGCGCAAGCCUGAUCCAGCCAUGCCGCGUGAGUGAUGAAGGCCUUAGGGUUGUAAAGCUCUUUCGGCGGGGACGAUAAUGACGGUACCCGCAGAAGAAGCCCCGGCUAACUUCGUGCCAGCAGCCGCGGUAAUACGAAGGGGGCUAGCGUUGCUCGGAAUCACUGGGCGUAAAGGGCGCGUAGGCGGACAUUUAAGUCGGGGGUGAAAGCCCAGGGCUCAACCCUGGAAUUGCCUCCGAUACUGGGUGUCUCGAGACCGGAAGAGGUGAGUGGAACUGCGAGUGUAGAGGUGAAAUUCGUAGAUAUUCGCAAGAACACCAGUGGCGAAGGCGGCUCACUGGUCCGGUUCUGACGCUGAGGCGCNAACGCGUGGGUAGCAAAACAGGAUUAGAUACCCUGGUAGUCCACGCCGUAAACGAUGGAUGCUAGCCGUUGGCAGGCUUGCCUGUCAGUGGCGCAGCU